rnacentral:rRNA from 1 species
AACGAACGCUGGCGGCAGGCUUAACACAUGCAAGUCGAACGCCCCGCAAGGGGAGUGGCAGACGGGUGAGUAACGCGUGGGAAUCUACCCAUCCCUACGGAACAACUCCGGGAAACUGGAGCUAAUACCGUAUACGCCCUUAGGGGGAAAGAUUUAUCGGGGAUGGAUGAGCCCGCGUUGGAUUAGCUAGUUGGUGGGGUAAAGGCCUACCAAGGCGACGAUCCAUAGCUGGUCUGAGAGGAUGAUCAGCCACAUUGGGACUGAGACACGGCCCAAACUCCUACGGGAGGCAGCAGUGGGAAUAUUGGACAAUGGGCGCAAGCCUGAUCCAGCCAUGCCGCGUGAGUGAUGAAGGCCUUAGGGUUGUAAAGCUCUUUCACCGAUGAAGAUAAUGACGGUAGUCGGAGAAGAAGCCCCAGCUAACUUCGUGCCAGCCGCCGCGGUAAGAC